rnacentral:lncRNA from 1 species
GCCCCCCAGCCAUGACCGAGAGGAAACUUAAUGGUGGCAGUGGCGGCGCUUCCACCUCUUUAUCGUGUACUAACUUACUCUUCUCCUCCUCGGCCACGGGGUUCAGCUUCAACGUGCCCUUCAUCCCAGUCACGCAAGCCGCCCCUGCCUCGGCCUCUCUUCUCUUGCCCGGAGAGGAUUCCACAGAUGUUGGUGAGGAGGACAGCUUCCUUGGUCAGACUUCUGUUCCCACAUCCACCCCACAGACAUUUAGUUACUUCUCUCAGGUAUCGAGCAAUAGUGAUCCUUUUGGGAAUAUUGGACAGUCACCCUUAACAACUGCAGCAACAUUGGUUGGACAAUCAGCAUUCUCCAACCCGCCAACUGCUCUCCCUUUUACAACUGAAUCCCACGAUGGGUUGACUACAUUUCCACCAUCUGUUUCAAAAGCUCAGUAUGGUACUCCACCUUCCUCACAGAUGGGAAUAAAUCCUUAUUUGCCUUCUCAGCCAAGUGGUUUCCCUCCUUCAAAUUUUGGGAGCCCACUGCAAGGAACCUCUCAACAAGGAUAUAAUCCAUAUCGCCAUACCCCUGUCAGCAGCAGGGCUAAUCCCUACAUCACACCUCCACAGCUGCAACAGUGCCAACCACCAGGCCAUCUCACUCACCCUCCAACCUCUGGACCUCCAGUACAGAUGUACCAGACGCCUCCAGCAUCUUUGCUGCCGAUUCCUCCUUCAGUACAGCCACCAACACAACAGCAAGCACUUGCUAAACCUGCAGGUCCCUCUGUGCAGGGGCCACCUCCUUUUGUACUUCAAAAUCAGUAUGAACCUGUCCAGCCCCACUGGUUUUACUGCAAGGAGGUAGAAUACAAACAAGUAUGGAUGCCUUUCAGUGCACUGGACUCUUUGAAUCUUGAAGAAGUCUAUAAUUCCGGUUGAAUAUAAAAAAGCUGUAACCACAAAUCAGUGGCACCGAAGAUUAGAGUUUCCAAGUGGAGAGACUAUUGUUAUGCACAAUCCAAAGGUAAUGGUACAUUUGAAGAUUUUAAAGUGUUAAGUACAUUUUAAGAGUUACUUUGCUGUGUUUGAUAAACAUUCAUUUUUAAUAAUUUCUACAGUUGGGAUAUAUAAUAAGAGCAUUGCUUUUAAAAUAGUUUACCGUAAUUAUCGAUCAUGGAAACAACACAUCAGUCUGCUUUCUUGUCACCAGAAUACAGUGCCUGACACCCACAAUUUAAGGGAAGAG